rnacentral:rRNA from 1 species
AACGAACGCUGGCGGCAUGCCUAACACAUGCAAGUCGAACGAGACCUUCGGGUCUAGUGGCGCACGGGUGCGUAACGCGUGGGAACCUGCCCUUAGGUUCGGAAUAACUCCCCGAAAGGGGUGCUAAUACCGGAUAAUGUCUUCGGACCAAAGAUUUAUCGCCUUUGGAUGGGCCCGCGUUGGAUUAGCUAGUUGGUAGGGUAAAAGCCUACCAAGGCGACGAUCCAUAGCUGGUCUGAGAGGAUGAUCAGCCACACUGGGACUGAGACACGGCCCAGACCCCUACGGGGGGGAGGAGGGGGGAAUAUUGGACAAGGGGCGAAAGCCUGAUCCAGCAAUGCCGGGUGAGUGAUGAAGGCCUUAGGGUUGAAAAGCUUUUUUACCCGGGAUGAUAAUGACAGUACCGGGAGAAUAAGCCCCGGCUAACCCCGU